AUUGAAAGCUGGCGGCGGGCCUAACACAUGCAAGUCGAACGAGUGGCGGACGGGUGAGUAAUGGAUGGGAACCUGCCCAAUGGAGGGGGAUAACUACUGGCAACAGUAGAUAAUACCGCGUACCAUCGGAUGGGCCCAGAUUGGAUUAGCUAGUAGGUGGGGUAACGGCUCAGCUAGGCGACGAUCCCUAGCAGGUCUGAGAGGAUGACAAGCCACACUGGAGCGUAGACACGGUCCAGAUUCCUACGCGAGGCAGCAGUGGGGAAUAUUGUACAAUGGGCGCAAGCCUGAUGCAGCCAUGCCGCGUGUAUGAAGAAGGCCUUCGGGUUGUAAAGUACUUUCAGCGAGGAGGCGUUACUCGCAGAAGAAGCACCGGCUAACUCCGUGCCAGCAGCCGCGGUAAUAC
rnacentral:rRNA from 1 species